AUAAAGGUAUCAAACAUCUUAAAGAAAAACUUGAAGUGUUCCCAAGAAAAAAAGGCCCAAAACAUCAGGAUGAUGGCUUUUGUAUUACUGGCCAAAUGAAGAAGGCUUUGAACUGAGGAGUGAGGAGGAGAUCUGGACAGGCCAACCACUGGAACGUCCACCAAGCCCGUAACUCCACACUCCAAACUCCACUUUGUGAACGCCAUGUGCAAACAGCAGGCUCGACCAGGGACUGGGAACCCACUAAGGGCAGCCACUCCCUAGGCUGCCCAGAGGCCUCUGAGCUGCUGUGGCAUGAAUCUACUAGAACAAUCUAAUUGUCUUUCUUUUGAGGGUAUCUGAAAUGGACACAAGAGGGAGAACUGAACUACUAAAGGGAGCUGAACAAAUCUGAGAAACAGAAACAGUCAUAGGAUAGUAUGUGAAUCCUAAUAAGGAGAGGGCAGGAAUGGCUGCUAUUUUAUAUCUACUUUGAACAAACUCCCAUUCCCCAAAUUAUGUUUCAGUCACCAAAAGAAAUGGUUUUUCUGUUCCUCUGUUUCUACAUUUGUAAAAAGCAGGUUAUAAUGAUGGUGCUCUGAUAUAGAACUAUUGUGAGGAAGAAAAAGUUACAUGUGUGCAAUACUUGAGAAUAGAGCCUGGCACCUACUAAGUACAAGAUAAAUACAGAUAUCUCUUAUUAUCCAAACUCCUGCUUUCUGAAAAUAGGAAUUUGAAUAUAGUAAGAUAAAUCUGAUAAAUUCCUCAACUAUCCAAAUUCAGGAACAAAAUAGAUUUGGCCAGAGAAAGAUACUUGUGUUACUUACUAUACUUAAGCACCUGAUCAUGUGCCAGAUACUAUGCUGUGUGAUUUACACGUAAGAGUAAACCAACUUUUUUCCUAUUGAAUUCUA